rnacentral:snRNA from 1 species
GGAUGUGAGAGGGGUCUGCUGUGAUGUCUGCCAUCCCACUGAUCGCCAGGGCUGAUUUAAAACAUCUGAUUGAUGGGCAAGGUGUUCUCUUUUUCCCUCACCACUCUGGGUAUCGGCUCCAGAAGCUGUGUGCUCUGUAAAAGAUUAUGAGUACCUCAGGUGGAGGAGAACUAUUCCCUCUACUGAAUGUUGAGAGCAACUGUGGUCUCUUGCUAGAUCCUUCAGACAAUCUCUCUUAAUGUUUUUGGACCCUGAUUUUUCUUUCAUGGUAUCUGGCAGCAGCAUUUACCAUAUUUAUGAAGACAUGCUUUAUAAAGACACUCAUGGACCAUGACUUCU